UCUCAUCACUUUUCCAAGCUAAACAAGCUUGGGCUGGGUCAGUUCGUGGUGGGGAGACCUCCAAGGGAAAUCUGGGGUGUUGGGAA
rnacentral:rRNA from 1 species